rnacentral:rRNA from 1 species
AAUAGAUACCCAGGUAGUCCACGCCGUAAACGAUGGAUACUAGCUGUUUGGUAGUAAUACUGAGUGGCUAAGCGAAAGUGAUAAGUAUCCCACCUGGGGAGUACGAACGCAAGUUUGAAACUCAAAGGAAUUGACGGGGGCCCGCACAAGCGGUGGAGCAUGUGGUUUAAUUCGAUGAUACGCGAGGAACCUUACCAGGGCUUAAAUGUAGUUUGACGUAUUUGGAAACAGAUAUUUCUUCGGACAAAUUACAAGGUGCUGCAUGGUUGUCGUCAGCUCGUGCCGUGAGGUGUCAGGUUAAGUCCUAUAACGAGCGCAACCCCUGUUGUUAGUUGCCAGCGAGUAAUGUCGGGAACUCUAACAAGACUGCCAGUGUAAACUGCGAGGAAGGUGGGGAUGACGUCAAAUCAUCACGGCCCUUACGUCCUGGGCCACACACGUGCUACAAUGGACGGUACAGAGAGCAGCCACUUAGCAAUAAGGAGCGAAUCUAUAAAACCGUUCUCAGUUCGGAUCGGAGUCUGCAACUCGACUCCGU